rnacentral:ncRNA from 20 species
CAUAGGAUGGGGGGUCGAGGUUCUCCGGGACGAUUCACGCCCGGAGCUAAGAGGGAAGCCGGUGUGUCUUCGGAUAAAGCCGGCGCUGCCCCCGCAACUGUAAGCGGUGAGCCGUGGUCCAUCAUGCCACUGGGUGUUGUCCCGGGAAGGCCGGACCAAAGCUGAGACCCGCGAGCCAGGAGACCUGCCCCGGCAACAUAGUCGUCC